AUGCUUUCUGCCACCUGUUCCUUUCUUGUGAUCUUAAUAUUCAGAGGGACCAAUGGAGACUCAGUGACCCAGACAGAAGGCCCUGUUACCCUCCUGGAGAUGACAACUAUGAUCCUGAACUGCACUUACCAGACCGCUUAUCCAGGUCUUGCCUUUUUCUGGUAUGUCCAGUAUCUCAAUAAAGCUCCCCAACUCCUCCUGAAGAGCUCUACAGACAACCAGAUGACAGAGAAUGAAGGAUUUAAGGCCAAGCUUAUGAAGAGUGACAGCUCCUUCCACCUCGAGAAAUCAUCAGUGCAAAUGUCGGACUCGGCGGUGUACUUCUGUGCUCUGAGUGACACAGUGGGGGAGGCUGCAGGUGGAGCCGAGCGCAAACCCCGAGGGAAUGCAGGUGGGGCCUGA